AGAGGAAGUUGUGCGAGAGGACAGGGACUAGUUCUGUUUCGCAGAUUUUCUUCAACGAGAAGCUGAUUGGAGUGCUAGUGGUGCUGAACUCGUUGCGAAACAGCGAGGAGUUCGACGGAGAGUGGCAGAGAUGCUCAGCGGGAAGGCGACCAAUGGGAACACCAUGGUCGCCGACGUACGGGUUUCAUUAAACAAUCACUAGUUAAAGGAGUAUUUGCUUCAUCAGUUUGUUGUACACUAGUUAAAGGUUGGAUGCUUCUUUCACAUAAUCUUUUGUGUGCAUCCCCACUAACCCG
rnacentral:lncRNA from 1 species